rnacentral:lncRNA from 14 species
AAGACAGUUACUUAAAUCGUGCCUACACCAUUUUUUAAUGCAGGCCAAUUGAAAUGCGAACUCAAAGGAUACUAUACUAUGAUGUAUGUAAAAGAAAGGAGAAGCAGAACAUUGAAUGCAAGAUACAGUUAAAGAUGACUAUCAUGCAGCUUUCCUGAAGUCCUCGAGAAUGUGUUGUCAGAAGAAAUUGGUGGAAGG